GACAGAGGUGCCAAGCGUUAGGCGGAAUCACUGGGCGUAAAGGGCGCGUAGGCGGCUCAUGAAGGCUGUGGUGAAAGUCCGGGGCUCAACCUCGGAUCGGCCGUGGCGACUCGUGGGCUGGAGCACUGUAGAGGCGGGUGGAAUUCCGGGUGUAGCGGUGGAAUGCGUAGAGAUCCGGAAGAACACCGGUGGCGAAGGCGGCCCGCUGGGCAACUGCUGACACUGAGGCGCGACAGCGUGGGGAGCAAACAGG
rnacentral:rRNA from 1 species